rnacentral:rRNA from 1 species
GACGAACGCUGGCGGCGUGCUUAACACAUGCAAGUCGAACGGAAAGGCCCUGCUUUUGUGGGGUGCUCGAGUGGCGAACGGGUGAGUAACACGUGAGUAACCUGCCCUUGACUUUGGGAUAACUUCAGGAAACUGGGGCUAAUACCGGAUAGGAGCUCCUGCUGCAUGGUGGGGGUUGGAAAGUUUCGGCGGUUGGGGAUGGACUCGCGGCUUAUCAGCUUGUUGGUGGGGUAGUGGCUUACCAAGGCUUUGACGGGUAGCCGGCCUGAGAGGGUGACCGGCCACAUUGGGACUGAGAUACGGCCCAGACUCCUACGGGAGGCAGCAGUGGGGAAUAUUGCACAAUGGGCGGAAGCCGGAUGCAGCAACGCCGCGUGCGGGAUGACGGCCUUCGGGUGGUAAACCGCUUUCGCAUGUGACGAAGCGUGAGUGACGGUAAUGGGUAAAGAAGCACCGGCUAACUACGU